AAGUCGAACGGAGCACCCCUGAAGGAGUUUUCGGACAACGGAUGGGAAUGCUUAGUGGCGGACUGGUGAGUAACGCGUGAGGAACCUGCCUUCCAGAGGGGGACAACAGUUGGAAACGACUGCUAAUACCGCAUGAUGCGUUGGAGCCGCAUGACUCCGACGCCAAAGAUUUAUCGCUGGAAGAUGGCCUCGCGUCUGAUUAGCUGGUUGGUGAGGUAACGGCCCACCAAGGCGACGAUCAGUAGCCGGACUGAGAGGUUGGCCGGCCACAUUGGGACUGAGAUACGGCCCAGACUCCUACGGGAGGCAGCAGUGGGGAAUAUUGGGCAAUGGACGCAAGUCUGACCCAGCAACGCCGCGUGAAGGAAGAAGGCUUUCGGGUUGUAAACUUCUUUUAAGGGGGAAGAGCAGAAGACGGUACCCCUUGAAUAAGCCACGGCUAACUACGUGCCAGCAGCCGCGGUAAUACGUAGGUGGCAAGCGUUGUCCGGAUUUACUGGGUGUAAAGGGCGUGC
rnacentral:rRNA from 1 species